rnacentral:tRNA from 1 species
GGGCAGUUAGUCUAAAUAAAACACUUGAUUUCGGCUCAAGAGAUUGAGGUUAAAGCCCUCAACUACCCU